rnacentral:rRNA from 1 species
GCCAGCCCGCUCAGAAACUCAAGGAAUUGACGGGGCCGCACAAGCGGUGGAGUAUGUGGUUUAAUUCGAUGCAACGCGAAGAACCUUACCUGGUCUUGACAUCCCGGAGACCCUUAGGAAACUAGGGGGUGCUUCCAUCUGGAAGAAUCUGGAGACAGGUGCUGCAUGGCUGUCGUCAGCUCGUGUCGUGAGAUGUUGGGUUAAGUCCCGCAACGAGCGCAACCCUUGCCUUUAGUUGCCAGCAGUUCGGCUGGGCACUCUAAAGGGACUGCCGGUGUUAAACCGGAGGAAGGUGGGGAUGACGUCAAGUCCUCAUGGCCUUUAUGACCAGGGCUACACACGUACUACAAUGGCCGAUACAAAGGGCAGCGACACUGCGAGGUGAAGCCAAUCCCGUAAAAUCGGUCUCAGUCCGGAUUGGAGUCUGCAACUCGACUCCAUGAAGUUGGAAUCGCUAGUAAUCGUGGAUCAGCAUGCCACGGUGAAUACGUUCCCGGGCCUU